rnacentral:rRNA from 1 species
GUGCCAGCCGCCGCGGUAAUACCGGCAGCUCAAGUGAUGUCCCAUAUUAUUGGGCCUAAAGCGUCCGUAGCUGGCCGACCAAGUCUCCCGGGAAAUCCACCCGCCCAACGGGUGGGUGUCCGACGGAAACUGCACAGCUUGGGACCGGAAGGCUCAGAGAGUACGUCCGGGGUAGGAGUGAAAUCCCGUAAUCCCGGACGGACUACCGAUGGCGAAAGCACUUCGAGAAAACGGAUCCGACAGUGAGGGACGAAAGCCAGGGUCUCCAACCGGAUUAGAUACCCGGUAGUCC